GACCAAUUUCAGUCGACACCAAGCAGUAGUAAGUUUGCAUUUCAACUUUAACAAGUUCAACACUCACAGUGAAAAUAACAUGAAAAUUCAAAUCAUUUUCUUACUUGGCGUACUGACGCUAUUGUCAAUGUUGCAGACGUCUGACGCCUUUUUCUGCAGAUGGUUCGGAUAUGUCAACAACGUAGACGUUGAAUGCAGAACAGCUAGUCAAGGAUGCGACGGCAACAAUGAACAGAUAGUACGCAAUUAUAAAUGUUUUGAGCCAGGUACCACAAUUUGUUGUCAAACAUCAUCGUGAUUUGAUUGAAACUUAUUGCAAAAACAAAGUUUGUCGAAAAUAAAUCGAGAAUGCAAUGAA